GGAAGUGCUGUGGCUCAGUGACAGAGCAUUUGCUUUGCAUGCAGAAGGUCCCAGGUUCGAACCCUGGCAUCUCCA